AUACGGAGGGUGCAAGCGUUAUCCGGAAUCAUGGGGUUUAAAGGGUCCGUAGGCGGACUAUUAAGUCAGAGGUGAAAUCCCACAGCUCAACUGUGGAACUGCCUUUGAUACUGGUAGUCUUGAGUUAUAUGGAAGUAGAUAGAAUGUGUAGUGUAGCGGUGAAAUGCAUAGAUAUUACACAGAAUACCGAUUGCGAAGGCAGUCUACUACGUAUAUACUGACGCUAAGGGACGAAAGCGUGGGGAGCGAACAGGAUUAGAAACCCCAGUAGUCC
rnacentral:rRNA from 1 species